UAAGGGGUGGGGGAACAGAUUGGGGUUCCGGCCAAGCCGGCGGCUCCUCAAUCUCGGGGUAGAUAUGAGGAGAGGGCUUGACUUUUUCAGCCGAGUGUUUGUUUUUCUCUCCAAGAGCCAGAAUUCGGGACCUGGCUUUCUUGGCUUAUUCAGCCAAGGUUUAACCCAUGGCGGAGGAUCCUCUGCCAAAUCUUGCCAUGUAAGGAUAUAGGGCUCCUGAUCGGGAUGAGAGCCGGGUCCAGUCUGAAAAAUAAUUGCUUUAACAGCCAGGAUAAUCUCAGAAUUAAAGGUCCCUUCUUAACCUGAACUGACAAAUUAUGAGCCCUGGAUUUAACUUCAGUCCAAUGGUCGAGAGUCAAACUAAGAGGGGUCGUCACCGUCUGUCCCAUAUUAAAACUGUAGACAAGGACGCACAAGACAAAGACACACAAAACAGAAACCAACAGAUCCAGACACACGCGACCCGUCCGCGUCUUCCACAAGCAGGCAAAAGAGUCGGACGGCCGCGGAGGGGGAAGCUUUCGCUUCAACAACAGAACUCGGUCCUCUGACCGACAGAAGGAGACCACCAGGCGUCCCUGGCUCUCCCCACCUCCCGGGGCGUCCCCCAGGGUGGCAGCCUGUGAUCCUCCUAGCACGUCUGCUGAUCACAGUCCCCCAGUCCUUACGGUCUGAGAGGACAGCUGCAAACCGAAAGCGCGCAUCACCGAAAACAGACACUCAGAACAGAGACGCCAGCCGACACACACACUCACACGUUCCAAAGGGGAUCCCUUUACCUCCAAGUCGGUUCUCGGGUGUGAGGGGUAGUCGCGGGUUUCCCGGCCAACGCACCAAACUGAAAGGCCAGUCGAGUUAAAAUCCCUCUCGUCCUGACUCGGAAGAGGCGACACCCCAAAUCACUCACGAGAAGCGGUCUUGAUGCAAACAGCAAGAGGAUUUUUAUUCCGAGCGCGCUGGG